UUGAUACAGGUCUUUAGGGAGUUUUACCCAACAAAUGAGGAAUUUAUCAUUCUUGAGUGUGUGUUGAAAUCAGAUAAGUUUGAAUUGCUCGAGAGCACACAUAAGAGUGAGAUUGCAAGUCAUGAUGGGGAUCUUGCUGUAGGGGCAUCAUCUGUACUAUAUCAAAGUGUUGAGUCUUUCCUUGGAGAUGAUGAAAAUAUUCCCCAGACGGCAGAAGCAAGAAGCACCUUAAGUUCCGUCAUAACUAAAUGUUGGCCAACACAGAUACGAGGACCUGUUCCGAAUGGCAUGUAA